rnacentral:rRNA from 1 species
GCAGGGGCGGCGUGCUAUACAUGCAAGUCGAGCGAAUGGAUUAAGAGCUUGCUCUUAUGAAGUUAGCGGCGGACGGGUGAGUAACACGUGGGUAACCUGCCCAUAAGACUGGGAUAACUCCGGGAAACCGGGGCUAAUACCGGAUAACAUUUUGAACCGCAUGGUUCGAAAUUGAAAGGCGGCUUCGGCUGUCACUUAUGGAUGGACCCGCGUCGCAUUAGCUAGUUGGUGAGGUAACGGCUCACCAAGGCAACGAUGCGUAGCCGACCUGAGAGGGUGAUCGGCCACACUGGGACUGAGACACGGCCCAGACUCCUACGGGAGGCAGCAGUAGGGAAUCUUCCGCAAUGGACGAAAGUCUGACGGAGCAACGCCGCGUGAGUGAUGAAGGCUUUCGGGUCGUAAAACUCUGUUGUUAGGGAAGAACAAGUGCUAGUUGAAUAAGCUGGCACCUUGACGGUACCUAACCAGAAAGCCACGGCUAACUACGUGCCAGCAGCCGCGGUAAUACGUAGGUGGCAAGCGUUAUCCGGAAUUAUUGGGCGUAAAGCGCGCGCAGGUGGUUUCUUAAGUCUGAUGUGAAAGCCCACGGCUCAACCGUGGAGG